UGUUUCCACAGACCUUGACGGUACCGAUUGAAUAAGGACCGGCCAACUCCGUGCCAGCAGCCGCGGUAAUACGGAGGGUCCAAGCGUUAUCCGGAUUCACUGGGUUUAAAGGGUGCGCAGGCGGCUAAGUAAGUCAGUGGUGAAAGCCUUCGGCUCAACCGGAGAAUUGCCAUUGAAACUACUUGGCUUGAGUGCAGCAGAGGUAGGCGGAAUGUAGCAUGUAGCGGUGAAAUGCAUAGAUAUGCUACAGAACACCGAUAGCGAAAGCAGCUUACCACACUGUAACUGACGGUGAGGCACGAAAGCAUGGGUAGCAAACAGGAUUAGAUACCCGGGUAGUCCAUGCCGUAAACUAGAACACUCGGAGUUUGCCACCUAGUGGUAAGCUCCCUAGCGAAAGCGUAAG
rnacentral:rRNA from 1 species